rnacentral:rRNA from 1 species
GGUUAAGCGACUAAGCGUACACGGUGGAUGCCCUGGCAGUCAGAGGCGAUGAAGGACGUGCUAAUCUGCGAUAAGCGUCGGUAAGGUGAUAUGAACCGUUAUAACCGGCGAUUUCCGAAUGGGGAAACCCAGUGUGUUUCGACACACUAUCAUUAACUGAAUCCAUAGGUUAAUGAGGCGAACCGGGGGAACUGAAACAUCUAAGUACCCCGAGGAAAAGAAAUCAACCGAGAUUCCCCCAGUAGCGGCGAGCGAACGGGGAGCAGCCCAGAGCCUGAAUCAGUGUGUGUGUUAGUGGAAGCGUCUGGAAAGGCGCGCGAUACAGGGUGACAGCCCCGUACACAAAAAUGCACAUGCUGUGAGCUCGAUGAGUAGGGCGGGACACGUGGUAUCCUGUCUGAAUAUGGGGGGACCAUCCUCCAAGGCUAAAUACUCCUGACUGACCGAUAGUGAACCAGUACCGUGAGGGAAAGGCGAAAAGAACCCCGGCGAGGGGAGUGAAAAAGAACCUGAAACCGUGUACGUACAAGCAGUGGGAGCCUCUUUAUGGGGUGACUGCGUACCUUUUGUAUAAUGGGUCAGCGACUUAUAUUCUGUAGCAAGGUUAACCGAAUAGGGGAGCCGAAGGGAAACCGAGUCUUAACUGGGCGUUAAGUUGCAGGGUAUAGACCCGAAACCCGGUGAUCUAGCCAUGGGCAGGUUGAAGGUUGGGUAACACUAACUGGAGGACCGAACCGACUAAUGUUGAAAAAUUAGCGGAUGACUUGUGGCUGGGGGUGAAAGGCCAAUCAAACCGGGAGAUAGCUGGUUCUCCCCGAAAGCUAUUUAGGUAGCGCCUCGUGAAUUCAUCUCCGGGGGUAGAGCACUGUUUCGGCAAGGGGGUCAUCCCGACUUACCAACCCGAUGCAAACUGCGAAUACCGGAGAAUGUUAUCACGGGAGACACACGGCGGGUGCUAACGUCCGUCGUGAAGAGGGAAACAACCCAGACCGCCAGCUAAGGUCCCAAAGUCAUGGUUAAGUGGGAAACGAUGUGGGAAGGCCCAGACAGCCAGGAUGUUGGCUUAGAAGCAGCCAUCAUUUAAAGAAAGCGUAAUAGCUCACUGGUCGAGUCGGCCUGCGCGGAAGAUGUAACGGGGCUAAACCAUGCACCGAAGCUGCGGCAGCGACGCUUAUGCGUUGUUGGGUAGGGGAGCGUUCUGUAAGCCUGUGAAGGUGUGCUGUGAGGCAUGCUGGAGGUAUCAGAAGUGCGAAUGCUGACAUAAGUAACGAUAAAGCGGGUGAAAAGCCCGCUCGCCGGAAGACCAAGGGUUCCUGUCCAACGUUAAUCGGGGCAGGGUGAGUCGACCCCUAAGGCGAGGCCGAAAGGCGUAGUCGAUGGGAAACAGGUUAAUAUUCCUGUACUUGGUGUUACUGCGAAGGGGGGACGGAGAAGGCUAUGUUGGCCGGGCGACGGUUGUCCCGGUUUAAGCGUGUAGGCUGGUUUUCCAGGCAAAUCCGGAAAAUCAAGGCUGAGGCGUGAUGACGAGGCACUACGGUGCUGAAGCAACAAAUGCCCUGCUUCCAGGAAAAGCCUCUAAGCAUCAGGUAACAUCAAAUCGUACCCCAAACCGACACAGGUGGUCAGGUAGAGAAUACCAAGGCGCUUGAGAGAACUCGGGUGAAGGAACUAGGCAAAAUGGUGCCGUAACUUCGGGAGAAGGCACGCUGAUAUGUAGGUGAAGUCCCUUGCGGAUGGAGCUGAAAUCAGUCGAAGAUACCAGCUGGCUGCAACUGUUUAUUAAAAACACAGCACUGUGCAAACACGAAAGUGGACGUAUACGGUGUGACGCCUGCCCGGUGCCGGAAGGUUAAUUGAUGGGGUCAGCGCAAGCGAAGCUCUUGAUCGAAGCCCCGGUAAACGGCGGCCGUAACUAUAACGGUCCUAAGGUAGCGAAAUUCCUUGUCGGGUAAGUUCCGACCUGCACGAAUGGCGUAAUGAUGGCCAGGCUGUCUCCACCCGAGACUCAGUGAAAUUGAACUCGCUGUGAAGAUGCAGUGUACCCGCGGCAAGACGGAAAGACCCCGUGAACCUUUACUAUAGCUUGACACUGAACAUUGAGCCUUGAUGUGUAGGAUAGGUGGGAGGCUUUGAAGUGUGGACGCCAGUCUGCAUGGAGCCGACCUUGAAAUACCACCCUUUAAUGUUUGAUGUUCUAACGUUGACCCGUAAUCCGGGUUGCGGACAGUGUCUGGUGGGUAGUUUGACUGGGGCGGUCUCCUCCUAAAGAGUAACGGAGGAGCACGAAGGUUGGCUAAUCCUGGUCGGACAUCAGGAGGUUAGUGCAAUGGCAUAAGCCAGCUUGACUGCGAGCGUGACGGCGCGAGCAGGUGCGAAAGCAGGUCAUAGUGAUCCGGUGGUUCUGAAUGGAAGGGCCAUCGCUCAACGGAUAAAAGGUACUCCGGGGAUAACAGGCUGAUACCGCCCAAGAGUUCAUAUCGACGGCGGUGUUUGGCACCUCGAUGUCGGCUCAUCACAUCCUGGGGCUGAAGUAGGUCCCAAGGGUAUGGCUGUUCGCCAUUUAAAGUGGUACGCGAGCUGGGUUUAGAACGUCGUGAGACAGUUCGGUCCCUAUCUGCCGUGGGCGCUGGAGAACUGAGGGGGGCUGCUCCUAGUACGAGAGGACCGGAGUGGACGCAUCACUGGUGUUCGGGUUGUCAUGCCAAUGGCACUGCCCGGUAGCUAAAUGCGGAAGAGAUAAGUGCUGAAAGCAUCUAAGCACGAAACUUGCCCCGAGAUGAGUUCUCCCUGAC